rnacentral:rRNA from 1 species
GACGUAGGGCGCGAGCGUUGUCCGGAUUUAUUGGGCGGAAAGAGCUCGUAGGCGGCUUGUUGCGUCGACCGUGAAAACCCGGGGCUCAACUUCGGGCUUGCGGUCGAUACGGGCGGGCUAGAGUUCGGUAGGGGAGACUGGAAUUCCUGGUGUAGCGGUGAAAUGCGCAGAUAUCAGGAGGAACACCGGUGGCGAAGGCGGGUCUCUGGGCCGAUACUGACGCUGAGGAGCGAAAGCGUGGGGAGCGAACAGG